GUGAAUCAUCAAAUUUUUGAACGCAUAUUGCACUCUCUGGUAUUCCGGAGAGUAUGCCUGUUUGAGGGUAAUUAAAAAGAAUAUUUAACCAAUUUUUUUUGGUCAAAGGACAUGAGCUCUCCGCGUUUAUAACGGUCGCUUAAAAUAAAUGGUCAAGUCUCAUUUCAGUCGAGACGCGUACUAAUAUUAUUUCGCGAAAUCUUCAUUAUGUGACUAUCCUGUUUUAAUGCUUAC
rnacentral:misc_RNA from 1 species